AAAGAGGGAGCUGAUGAGGAAAAAAGAACUCCAAGGCUAUUUGUACUGAUAGGACACUAAUUAGUGACCACUGGACUCUACAAACCUCCAUAAAGGAUGAUUCUGGAUGUGUAUAGCUUUAUAUUUUCAGUUUAUUUUGAUAGUUCCAAGAGAAGAUGGAUAAAAUGAGAUGACUAUGGUAAUUUGCAUUUAAAAGGACUUUUUUAGAGUGGCAGCUCAGCCUCAGAAGAUCGCAAGUUCAACAUAAAAGGUCAGAAAUAUUUGUCCACCAACCAAGAUAGUGUAGCUAAGGAGGGCCGGGAUUGUGCCUGCUGCCCUGGGAAGCCUUGAUUUAGGGAUGCAUUCUUCUUCUUCUUCUUUUUAAAGAAAAGCUGUGACCAACUCUGUAUCCAGGCAGGAGAAAAGAAUAAGACUUGACCUCCUUUUGUUCCAACAAUAGCCUGCAACUGCCUCAUUCCAUUGUCUCAACGGGCAUCAUCUGUCAGUCGUCAACUCUCCUUCCAAGACAGAGCUGCAUUCUCCUUGUUUUAUCACUCUGCUAUGUGAUGUCCUUUCUCAUCUGGUUUCGGAAUUUCAAGGGAAAAAAAAAGACCAUGAAAAAUGUUGACCUUGGAGGCCAUGUUUUGAAACUGGCAGCAUUACAAGAUGGAAGAAUCCUUGAUUACUGAAUCAUGGAGGCAGUCAGGAGAGCUGUCCAACUAUGAACACCUGCAUUGGAUUUUGGCUUUCGUCUUUUCUUCGCGUCGACCCAGAAUCCCAGGAACCAACCUAGAACAAAGAGGUAGGCCAGUGCUGCUUAGAAACCCCAGGCGGCAAGAGAGCAGGGGACUCUGAUCCACCAGAGAUGGUCUGUGGGUUUCACAACAUCUCAGUGGAAAACCUGUGAAGUUGCUGCACCAGCAUCUACUGCUGUGACGGCGGCCUUGCUGGGCCCGUGCCUUGGUAGUUAUUCAGGUGAGGAUGAUCUUGGUCUCUCAAAAGGCCAAGCCAUUUUCCUAAUGCCAUCAUCUUUAUAUUGGGAGAUGCUUCCAGUCUUAGCCACUCUGUGCCAGAAACCCCAAGCCCUGCUGUUGAGGCUUCAUCACUAGUCCAGACACCCUUUCCCUAAGAGAGAGCCCCUUUUACAGCUCAUUUUACUGCCAAGAGACUUCAGUUGAUAUCAUCUCAAUCCAUUAAAGAUGUCAAAAAUCCAUUUAAUCUUCAAGAGAAAUGAAUAGGAUCACAACCUCUUUCUUUCUAAGGAGGCAAUUUUGUCCAACAUAAAACUUCUGCUCCGCUCCCUUGUGAGCAGAUCUACACCUGGGAUGUUGGCAAGAGACACAAGACACAUUUCCACCUUCCCCAGAGAAAUAGAGCCCAUUCUCCAGACCUUACAUAAUUGCGUAGAAGUAAGGUGAACAUGUUACCAGGAAGCCAAUUUUCAAUAUCCUGUGAAGAAACCCCUUGUCCUCUGUAGGUUGUCACUGAAAGAACCAAACAUUACAAGAGUUAAAAAGCAAAGUAGCGUCUUCAGGAAGAGAGGUAAAUGUCCCAUAAAGUUCCGGUAACUCACAUAACUUGAAGUCUGGUCAUUGCCACAGUCCCGACGUGCCGCAGCUGUGCGUGUCUCCUCGAGGUUUCUCUGCCUUUAGAAAUAGUGAAUUGGUGGAAUCACCACGCGACAAAUGCUCCAGUUUCUUGA